ACGGAGAGGACUGUUUUAUGAAGUGUAGAUGUUCUGUUGAUAUCUGCGACUUUAUAUCUGGAUGUAGUUUCAUCAGUACUGCAGUCAUUUCUUCGGAGCGUCAGACAACCAGCAUCAAGGACAAUGUAUUUCCAUGUGAUAUUUGCAGAAACCAAUGUGGUAAGAUAAGUUACCAAAACAUUUUUUAAUAAUACAUGUCAACACAUCUUCUUUACGAUACUAUUAAGGAUU